rnacentral:rRNA from 1 species
CUGUUCCUCGGGGCGCAGCAGUAGGGAAUAUUGCACAAUGGGGGGAACCCUGAUGCAGCGACGCCGCGUAGGUGAAGGAGUAUUUCGGUAUGUAAAGCCCUAUCAGCAGGGAAGAACAAUGACGGUACCUGACUAAGAAGCACCGGCUAAAUACGUGCCAGCAGCCGCGGUAAUACGUAUGGUGCAAGCGUUAUCCGGAUUUACUGGGUGUAAAGGGAGCGCAGGCGGCGCGUUAAGCCCGGUGUGAAAGCCCGCGGCCCAACCGCGGGACUGCAUUGGGAACUGGCGCGCUGGAGUGCCGGAGG